rnacentral:rRNA from 1 species
GAUUACCCGCUGAACUUAAGCAUAUUCAAUAAGCCGGAGGAAAAGAAACUAACCAGGAUUCCCUUGGUAACGGCGAGUGAAGAGGGAAGAGCCCAGCACCGACUGGCGGCAGUUUUGCUGUUAGGCAAUGUGGUGUGUGGGUCGGCUCGCGGGAACCAUCACUCCACUCGAAGUCCAGCAUUGAGUAUGGCAAUCACUGGAUUUGGCCCAUAGAGGGUGAGAGGCGUACGGGUGGAGGUUCAGACAUGUACGAUGGUUCAUCAGGCCGGCCCUAGAGUCGGGGUGUUUGUGAAUGCAGC